GGAUGUGAGGGUGAUCUGGCUGUGACAUCUGUCACCCCAUUGAUUGCAGGGUUGAUUUGGCUGAUCUGCCUGGCUAAGCGGGUGUCUCCUCCCUCCCUCACUGCUCCAUGUGCCUCUCUCCCGAAGCUGCAUGCUCAGUGGAAGAGAAGGACGUCCCAGGUAUAGAAGGAGUAUAG
rnacentral:snRNA from 1 species